rnacentral:rRNA from 1 species
GAUGAACGCUAGCGGCAGGCCUAACACAUGCAAGUCGAGGGAGAAGCCCUUUCGGGGGCAGAAACCGGCGCACGGGUGCGUAACGCGUAUGCAACCUACCUUUCACAGGGGGAUAGCCCGAAGAAAUUUGGAUUAAUACCCCAUAAUAUUAUUGGAUGGCAUCAUUUGAUAAUUAAAACUGCGGUGGUGAAAGAUGGGCAUGCGUCCUAUUAGCUAGUUGGAGUGGUAACGGCACCCCAAGGCUACGAUAGGUAGGGGUCCUGAGAGGGAGAUCCCCCACACUGGUACUGAGACAGGGACCAGACUCCUACGGGAGGCAGCAGUGAGGAAUAUUGGGCAAUGGUCGGAAGACUGAACCAGCCAUGCCGCGUGCAGGAAGAAUGCCUUAUGGGUUGUAAACUGCUUUUAUAUGGGAAGAAUAAGGUGUACGUGUACAUUGAUGACGGUACCAUAUGAAUAAGCAUCGGCUAACUCCGUG